AGAUGGAUCAUUCAUGAAUAUACGUAUUAAACUGGUACUGCAUCGAAAGAAGACUUUCUUUUUUGGUUGUGUGUGACAUUGUAUUUCAGAGUAAUUGGUCUUAUGGUAUAUGAAUUUAAGGGUUGUGAUUGAAUUCUUGUGUAACACUGCAAUGUAUUUGGUUUACCGAUUUAAGUAUAUAGAGAUUAUUUCAUUUAUGCCUUUCAGCGAUGGAUGUCUCGGAUCUCGUAUCGAUGAAGAACGCAGCUAUCUGCGAGAUGCAGUGUGACGUGCGAACUUCUGUGAAUCAUUAGAUUUUUGAACGCAAACGGUACUUCUAAAUUUAUUUUGGAAGUAUGUUCACUUCAGUGCUCUAAUAUAUUUGUUGCCCUAACUGGUGGGCAACGUGGGUAGUUGCUGCUAUUGUGGCUGCUUUAAACUAAUGGUUAUGACUUUUAGGUGGUCCUUUAAAGAUCAUAUCCAAGGUAUUUUGUUACUAAGCCUGAAUUUAAGCAAGUAUACCCGCUGAAUUUAAGCAUAUUAUUAAGCGGAGGAAAAGAAACUAACUAGGAUUUCCUUAGUAACGGCGAGUGAACAGGAAAUAGCUCAAACUGGAAAUCGAUAGUUUACUAUCGAAUUGUAGUCUCAUGAAAUGCAGCCUGUGAAUGUUUUGAGUUAAGUCUCUUGGAAAAGAGUACCAAAGAGGGUGAAAGUCCCGUCUUUACUCAGAGAUAUUUACUUUCGGUGCAUUUUCAAAGAGUCGUGUUCCUUGAGAUUGGAGCGCUAAUUGGGUGAUAAAUUUCAUCUAAAGCUAAAUACUAACGAGAUUCCGAUAGCACACAAGUACCGUGAGGGAAAGGUGAAAAGAACUUUGAAAAGAGAGUUAAAAGGAACUGAAAUUGCUGAAAAGGAAGUGGAGAGUUUCAAUGGUUUAGCAAAAUUUCUCAUGUGCUCCGGGUAUUUUUACCUAUGAGUAUGUGGUAGGGAUUGGCGAUGACACUGGGAGUGAUUGUCCAUAGUGACAAACAUUAUUGAUAGGUUCUAUUUUUAGAACCUUAUCAAUGGUGUCUUCAGCUUGGGUAAUCUAUGUAUUUCUAGCUUAGCACUUUUGCUGCUGAACUAUAUUUUUCCAGGAAUAUUGAUUCUCUCCUUCUCGUCUUGAAACACGGACCAAGGAGUCUACUUUAUGUGCAAGUACAAGGGUUAAAAACCUACGUGCAAAAUGAAAGUAAUAGUCAGGAUAGUGUAAACUUGCACUGACACUCGGUUACCGGACCGAAGUUGAGCACAUAUAGUAGGACCCGAAAGAUGGUGAACUAUGCCUGAGUAGGGUGAAGCUAGAGGAAACUCUGGUGGAAGCUCGUAGCGAUACUGACGUGCAAAUCGUUCGUCAAACUUUGGUAUAGGGGCGAAAGACCAAUCGAACUAUCUAGUAGCUGGUUCCCUC
rnacentral:misc_RNA from 1 species